GGACAUCAAGAAGCAGUUGCAGCAGCUCGAGGGCGAUGAAGGAAAAUCCCUGGAGGAACUGGUAAGCGUGGCCACCCGGUAUAUCAUACAAGGGAAAAAGUUCAAGAGACCAAACAGGUGAGGAUGCUAGCAGCCCUUGUAAACACUGGAAAUGAAAAACAGGGAGGGUGGCAGGGACCCCGCAAAUGGCAACCAAAAUCGGAUUAUGGGGGGAACCCCGAGACAUGUCAAUGACAUAUGUAACUACUGUAAGCAGCUUGGCCACUGGAAGAGAGAGUGUCCGAACCGACCUACCGGACGACAACCCCGUCGCCCAGACCGACCUCAACAACAGAUGGCUGUAACAAGAACAGACGCUGUUGAUAAUGAGGAAUGACGGCAACCAGGGGGUCCUCUUGUCACCUAUUCAAAUGAUUUUACCACUUAUGUUUGUUCCUCCACAGACCCCCAGGUUUGCCUAACAUUGGGAGGAACCGCCUAUUCUUGUCUUUUGGAUUCAGGUGCUGCACUUUCUACUGUUACUGCCAAGCUGGAGAGAGGAAGCCUUACAGAUAAGAGCAUUCCGAUAAUGGGUAUAGGCGGGAAGCCAUUUGACUGUUCUGUAUUACAGGAGGCUGCUGUAGAAAUCUCUGGUGUCUCCGCCUCCCAUGCCUUUCUGCUAGCCCCAGAUUCCGCAGUUAACCUCUUAGGCAGAGAUCUGUUGUGUAAACUACGUGCUCAGAUUUUCUUUUCAGAUGACAAAAUCAUUCUUCGGUUGCCUCAAACCCAACUUCCCCAGCUGUGUGCUGUUCUAAUGGAAGUUUCAAAGGACCCGAUCCUGCCUGCGGACUCAAUCUUACCCGAGCGACUCAGACAGGAGGUAAACAUCUCCCUGUGGGGCACUUCAAGGGCAGACUUGGGGACUCUCCAGACAGAGCCAGUGCGUAUAACCCUGAAGCCAGGCAUUGAAAUUCCUUGGAUUCGUCAGUAUUCCAUCCCCCAAGAAGCUCUGCUUGACCUCCGGAGUCUUAUCACCACAUUCCUGCGGUUGGGAGUGCUGGUUCACACCAAGUCUCUUUUCAAUACUCCCAUUCUGCCAGUCAAAAAAACCUGACAUGGACUCAGAGGGAAAACCGGUAUACCGAUUUGUCCAGGACUUACGUGCAGUAAAUAAGUAUUCCUCUAGAUAAGGACAGCUGGGACUCAAUUUCAGUCCCUACCCGCUGAUGUUCCUGCCCACCGGAUCGCUUCAGGAGACUGGGUCUAUGUGAAAGAGUGGAAACACGAGCCUCUCCAACCCCGGUAGGCGGGCCCUUUCCAAGUCCUUCUUACCUCUCACACUGCUAUUCGAGUGAAAGAGCAAGACACUUGGAUACACCACACCCGAGUCAAGCUAGCCCCUAGGACGGGGCCAGAAGCAGACGACUUCGGACCUCGAGGGAGCACCGCCAGCUCUUCCCACCGCGACCCGGAAGAGCCAGAAGCAGACGAUACCUGGAAAACUGAACCUCUUGAGGGACUAAAGCUUCUGUUCCGGCGAACAAAAUCCUAAGACUUUAUAACUAUGGGUUCUCAGACAGUUUUGCAGUGGCUAUUGCUUUUGGGUUUGCCCCUUCCAGCCAGAUCCUAACCCACACCCAGCCACUAAAUCUCUUCAGCAAAUAGCCACGUUAGGACACUUAUCUGAUUGUUGGCUGUGUCACAAAACCCGCUCUGAGGAAGGAAUAGGAUUGUGGGCUGUACCUGCAAAACUUUCUGAAGUACUCUCCUUACAGGUAGAACGGAAAACUGAAUGGGCUGGAUUGGGGAAUAUCAAUAUGACAAAUAUGGGAGAAGGUCUGAAGUUUGGCAUUAUUACUGGGUAGCUAAGGGGGUCCCUCUUUUUGAAGUUCUUGGGAUCGGGUAUAACAUGUCCCUUUGUUUGGAAAAUGCUGAAGGAAGUGGGAGGAAAGUGGGCUACCUUCCCCUGGAGGCCUGUGAUCAAACCCUUUGGUUUGAGGUCAGAAAUGGAACCUUCUACCCUUUAAAUACCCCUGAGAAUGCUCCAAAACCCCAUUGUCUCCUGCACAUGGCCAUUACUGUGAGACCAACAGGCAUUUGUUAUCAAGGGCAGUGGUUUCACUUAUUCCUCCCGUUAGGCCCCAUAAAUAAGACACAUAUGUAUUAUAUGGAUAUUUACUCUGGCAUUCUGUUGCCCCACACAUCCCUUGAAAGGAUGUCUGGAUGCCCGGAGUCCAUGGGAUCACUUGCAAGUUUUACAGCUAACAUAUUUGGGGUUACGUAUUGUGGGGCCAUUUUAAACAAUACCCAUGCCCUAGGAGACUUAAAUGUUUCCCAUUGGAGGUGCCAGGACCGGCUAGUGAGUAACUCCGGGCGCUGGGAUAGAUGGGUGACCUGGUGCCAUUGAGUUGCGGGUAAUACCCUUACCCUCUAUUUAGAGACCCCUGGCUUGUAUUUUAUCUGUGGCCACAAUGUCUACAAAGCUCUCCCUUUAGGUUGGCAAGGUCGGUGCGGUGUGGCCCGGGUGUUACCAGAUGUCCAAGUGAACGACACAUUGGAUGCCAGCCAGAUCCUCAACCUGGCAGCUAUGCCCAUAAGUUUUUCACCUCCUCCCUUUAUAGGGACUCGAGCGAAACGUGCCAACAAUCCCCUAGUAGUCAGGCAAACGGGGUUUCACUCCUUUGUUUGUGCGCUCAUUCCUGGGUUGGGGGUAGCCGAGCUAGAAAAAGCAGUAGUAAAUAUUUCUGCAGAACUAGAAAAAAUAGCCAAUGCAUCAAUAGACGCUUUCCAAAAGUUGAAACAGGAGAUUGAUGAGGUGGCAGAAAUAGCUUUGCAAAAUAGACGUGUGUUAGAUGCUAUGAAUGCUGAAUUAGGAGGGGCUUGUGCUCGCAUC